rnacentral:rRNA from 1 species
UACGUAUGGUGCAAGCGUUAUCCGGAUUUACUGGGUGUAAAGGGAGCGUAGACGGAAUUGCAAGUCUGAUGUGAAAAUCCGGGGCCCAACCCCGGAACUGCAUUGGAAACUGUAUUUCUAGAGUGUCGGAGAGGCAAGUGGAAUUCCUGGUGUAGCGGUGAAAUGCGUAGAUAUCAGGAGGAACACCAGUGGCGAAGGCGGCUUGCUGGACGAUGACUGACGUUGAGGCUCGAAAGCGUGGGGAGCAAACAGG